CCUACGGGGGGCAGCAGUGGGGAAUAUUGGACAAUGGGGGGAACCCUGAUCCAGCCAUGCCGCGUGUGUGAAGAAGGCCCUCGGGUUGUAAAGCACUUUCAGUGAGGAAGAACGCCUGGUGGUUAAUACCCAUCAGGAAAGACAUCACUCACAGAAGAAGCACCGGCUAACUCCGUGCCAGCAGCCGCGGUAAUACGGAGGGUGCGAGCGUUAAUCGGAAUUACUGGGCGUAAAGCGCGCGUAGGUGGCUUGAUAAGCCGGUUGUGAAAGCCCCGGGCUCAACCUGGGAACGGCAUCCGGAACUGUCCAGCUAGAGUGCAGGAGAGGAAGGUAGAAUUCCCGGUGUAGCGGUGAAAUGCGUAGAGAUCGGGAGGAAUACCAGUGGCGAAGGCGGCCUUCUGGACUGACACUGACACUGAGGUGCGAAAGCGUGGGUAGCAAACAGGAUUAGAUACCCCGGUAGUC
rnacentral:rRNA from 1 species